rnacentral:rRNA from 1 species
CCUACGGGUGGCAGCAGUGAGGAAUAUUGGUCAAUGGACGAGAGUCUGAACCAGCCAAGUAGCGUGAAGGAUGACGGCCCUAUGGGUUGUAAACUUCUUUUAUAGGGGAAUAAAAUCUUCCACGUGUGGGCUUUUGUGUGUACCCUAUGAAUAAGGAUCGGCUAACUCCGUGCCAGCAGCCGCGGUAAUACGGAGGAUCCGAGCGUUAUCCGGAUUUAUUGGGUUUAAAGGGUGCGUAGGUGGAUUGUUAAGUCAGUUGUGAAAGUUUGCGGCUCAACCGUAAAAUUGCAGUUGAAACUGGCAGUCGUGAGUGGAGUAGAGGUAGGCGGAAUUCGUGGUGUAGCGGUGAAAUGCUUAGAUAUCACGCAGAACUCCGAUUGCGAAGGCAGUACACUGGACUGCAACUGACACUGAGGCACGAAAGUGUGGGUAUCAAACAGGAUUAGAUACCCGAGUAGUC